CUCCUGUCUCUCCGCAGCUGGAUGGGAGGGAAGGGAUCCCCUCUGGAAUUCCUGAUUCCCUCAGCCGGGAAUUUUGGCACAGGCUGGAUUUUAUCCGAUCGCCUGCUGGGAAUCUGGGAUUCCCUUCCUGCCAUCUCAGGGGCUCGGGAUCUCCUCCCGAAAUCCGCCUCCAGUUCCUACGGCCAUUGUUUGAAGGGGUUGCUGGAUUUGGGAUUUAUUAUCCCGGCCGUCUGGCCAAUGUAAAUGUUUCCUUUCCUGGAAGCCAGCGAGGAUUUGUAAUAUCCCUACGGAUAAUCCUCCCCUCUGACCACAUCAAGGAGAAGGCAGCGAAUUCCAGGGAGGAACGCGGAAUUCCCGCCCCGGGAGAAGCUGCGCUCCUGGGAAUUACCUCCUCUGGGAGGAAAAGGUUAUUUGGCAUGGGGAGCAGGAAGUUUCCUCUCUGGGAAUCUCCAAAAAAUUAACUCUUCACUGCUCCCUUUUAAAGCUGGUUUGUAUCCCGGGAAAUGGUUUUUUUAUGGAAUUUCUUGGUGGUCCUUCGA